rnacentral:rRNA from 1 species
CAGGUAGUUGGUGGGGUAAAGGCCUACCAAGCCUACGAUCUUUAGCUGGUCUGAGAGGACGACCAGCCACACUGGAACUGAGACACGGUCCAGACUCCUACGGGAGGCAGCAGUGGGGAAUAUUGGACAAUGGGGGAAACCCUGAUCCAGCCAUGCCGCGUGAGUGAUGAAGGCCUUAGGGUUGUAAAGCUCUUUUACCAGGGAAGAUAAUGACGGUACCUGGAGAAUAAGUUCCGGCUAACUUCGUGCCAGCAGCCGCGGUAAUACGAAGGGAACUAGCGUUGUUCGGAAUCACUGGGCGUAAAGCGGGCGCACGCGGACUGUCAAGUCAGAGGUGAAAUCCCAAGGCUCAACCUUGGAAUUGCCUUUGAAACUGACAGUCUGGAGUGUGUGAGGGGGUAGCGGAAUUCCAAAUGUAAAGGUGAAAUUUUU